rnacentral:rRNA from 1 species
AACGAACGCUGGCGGCAUGCCUAACACAUGCAAGUCGAACGAGACCUUCGGGUCUAGUGGCGCACGGGUGCGUCACGCGUGGUAACCUGCCCUUAGGUCCGGAAUACCUCCCCGAAAGGGGUCCUAAUACCGGAUAAUGUCUCCGGACCAAAGAUUUAUCGCCUUUGGAUGGGCCCGCGUUGGAUUAGCUAGUUGGUAGGGUAAAAGCCUACCAAGGCGCCGAUCCAUAGCUGGUCUGAGAGGAUGAUCAGCCACACUGGGACUGAGACACGGCCCAGACUCCUACGGGAGGUAGCAGUGGGGAAUAUUGGACGAUGGGCGAAAGCCUGAUCCAGCAAUGCCGCGUGAGUGAUGAAGGCCUUAGGGUUGUAAAGCUCUUUUAACCGGGAUGAUAAUGACAGUACCGGGAGAAUAAGCUCCGGCUAACUCCGUG